GAAUCUUAGACAAUGGGGGAAACCCUGAUCUAGCCAUGCCGCGUGAGUGAUGAAGGCCUUAGGGUCGUAAAGCUCUUUCGCUGGGGAAGAUAAUGACUGUACCCAGUAAAGAAACCCCGGCUAACUCCGUGCCAGCAGCCGCGGUAAUACGGAGGGGGUUAGCGUUGUUCGGAAUUACUGGGCGUAAAGCGCGCGUAGGCGGAUCAGAAAGUUGGGGGUGAAAUCCCGGGGCUCAACCCCGGAAUUGCCUUCAAAACUCCUGGUCUUGAGGUCGAGAGAGGUGAGUGGAAUUCCGAGUGUAGAGGUGAAAUUCGUAGAUAUUCGGAGGAACACCAGUGGCGAAGGCGGCUCACUGGCUCGAUACUGACGCUGAGGUGCGAAAGCGUGGGGAGCAAACAG
rnacentral:rRNA from 1 species